GACGAACCGUGCGAACGUUAUUCGGAAUCACUGGGCUUAAAGGGCGCGUAGGCGGGCUGUCAAGUCUGGGGUGAAAUGCUGCGGCUCAACCGUAGAACUGCCUUAGAUACUGACGGCCUCGAGGAAGGUAGGGGCAUGCGGAACUGUAGGUGGAGCGGUGAAAUGCGUUGAUAUCUACAGGAACUCCGGUGGCGAAAGCGGCGUGCUGGACCUUUUCUGACGCUGAGGCGCGAAAGCUAGGGGAGCAAACGGG
rnacentral:rRNA from 1 species